AAAAAAGUAAAACAUAAGUUUUGUUUUUUUUUUUUAAAGUAUAACAUAAGUAAAAUAUAAGCGGUUUAUAAACAUUUUUUUUUUGUCUAUUUUACCAAUUUAUGUAAGUUCUGAAAAACCGGAUGAACUCAAAACCGUUUUCCCAAAACUCAUAACCACUAAGCUUUACGCUUUAUUAAAAAUCUUAUUAAGCAGUGUUUACCACUCACUUAUAACUAGUUUUA
rnacentral:lncRNA from 1 species